rnacentral:misc_RNA from 1 species
UCUCCGUUGGUGAACCAGCGGAGGGAUCAUUACCAAGUUAUCAACUCCCAAACCCCUUUGAACCUACCCCCCCUUUCUUCGCCGUGUCCGCCCCGGCGCCCUCCUCGUCCCGGAACCACGCGCCCGCCGGAGGACCCCUACUCUUGUUUAAACCAUAAUGUCAUAUUCUGAGUCACACAAAAAACAUCAAUCAACACUUGCAACAACGGAUCUCUUGUCUCUGGCAUCGACAAAAAACGCGGCAGAUCGCACGCGCACACCUCUUCACUCCACUCCCUC